rnacentral:other from 1 species
CGUCCCCUGCGGUGUUUGUUAAGGCCAUACAUUCCUUGAACCAAUGCUAAUUGGCAUCGGUUGCGGACCAUCGGAAGGAAUGCGACCACUCUGGACCCAGGUUCAGGAUGCCGGCCUGACGGCACUUGCGGGGGCCUU